GUGUCAGCAGCCGCGGUAAAACGUAGGAGCCAAGCGUUAUCCGAAUUCACUGGGCGUAAAGCGUGUGCAGGCGGAUGGGUAAGUUGGAUGUGAAAUCUCCUGGCUCAACUGGGAGAGGCCGUUCAAUACUGUUCAUCUAGAGGGCAACAGAGGGAGGUGGAAUUCCCGGUGUAGUGGUGAAAUGCGUAGAUAUCGGGAGGAACACCAGUGGCGAAAGCGGCCUCCUGGGUUGCAUCUGACGCUCAGACACGAAAGCUAGGGGAGCGAACGGGAUUAGAAACCCGGGUAGUCC
rnacentral:rRNA from 1 species